rnacentral:rRNA from 1 species
CAGUCGAACGAACACCUUAUUUGAUUUUCUUCGGAACUGAAGAUUUGGUGAUUCAGUGGCGGACGGGUGAGUAACGCGUGGGUAACCUGCCCUGUACAGGGGGAUAACAGUCAGAAAUGACUGCUAAUACCGCAUAAGACCACAGCACCGCAUGGUGCAGGGGUAAAAACUCCGGUGGUACAGGAUGGACCCGCGUCUGAUUAGCUGGUUGGUGAGGUAACGGCUCACCAAGGCGACGAUCAGUAGCCGGCUUGAGAGAGUGAACGGCCACAUUGGGACUGAGACACGGCCCAAACUCCUACGGGAGGCAGCAGUGGGGAAUAUUGCACAAUGGGGGAAACCCUGAUGCAGCGACGCCGCGUGAGUGAAGAAGUAUCUCGGUAUGUAAAGCUCUAUCAGCAGGGAAGAAAAUGACGGUACCUGACUAAGAAGCCCCGGCUAACUACGUGCCAGCAGCCGCGGUAAUACGUAGGGGGCAAGCGUUAUCCGGAAUUACUGGGUGUAAGGGGUGCGUAGGUGGUAUGGCAAGUCAGAAGUGAAAACCCAGGGCUUAACUCUGGGGCUGCUUUUGAAACUGUCAGACUGGAGUGCAGGAGAGGUAAGCGGAAUUCCUAGUGUAGCGGUGAAAUGCGUAGAUAUUAGGAGGAACAUCAGUGGCGAAGGCGGCUUACUGGACUGAAACUGACACUGAGGCACGAAAGC